rnacentral:rRNA from 1 species
GUGCCAGCAGCCGCGGUAAUACGUAGGGUGCAAUCGUUAAUCGGAAUUAUUGGGCGUAAAGCGUGCGCAGGCGGUUUUGUAAGACAGGCGUGAAAUCCCCGGGCUCAACCUGGGGACUGCGUUUAUGACUGGCAGGCUAGAGGAUGGCAGAGGGGGUAGAAUUCCACGUGUAGCAGUGAAAUGCGUAGAGAUGAGGAGGAACACCGAUGGCGAAGGCGGCCCCCUGGGCCAAUACUGACGCUCAUGCACGAAAGCGUGGGUAGCAAACAGGACUAGAUACCCUGGUAGUCCACGCCCUAAA